rnacentral:ncRNA from 1 species
UACCUGGUCGAUCCUGCCAGUAGCAUAUGCUUAUCUCAAAGAUUAAGCCAUGCAUGUCUAAGUACACAUGGCUGGUACAGUGAAACUGCAAAUGGCUCAUUAAAUCAGUUAUGGUUCCUUUGGUCACUUGCUCCUCUCCUACUUGGAUAACUGUGGUAAUUAUAGAGCUAAUACAUGCUUACGGGUGCUGACCCCUGACAAGGUGGGGAUGUGUGCAUUUAUCAGAUCAAAACCAACGGUCAGCUCCCCCCCACCUGGGCCGGGGGUGCGGGCGCCAGUGGCUUUGGUGACUCUAGAUAACCUCGGGCUGAUCGCACGCCCCCUGUGGUGGUGAUGACCCAUUCAAACGUCUGCCCUAUCAACUUUCGAUGGUAGUUGCCGUGCCUACCAUGGUGACCAUGGAUGACAGGGAAUCAGGGUUUGAUUCCAGAGAAGGAGCCUGAGAAAUGGCUACCACAUCCAAGGAAGGAGGCAGGGGCCCA